GUAGUCAUAUGCUUGUCUCAAAGAUUAAGCCAUGCAUGUCUAAGUAUAAGCAAUUAUACAGUGAAACUGCGAAUGGCUCAUUAAAUCAGUUAUCGUUUAUUUGAUAGUACCUUUACUACUUGGAUAACCGUGGUAAUUCUAGAGCUAAUACAUGCUAAAAAUCCCGACUGUUUGGAAGGGAUGUAUUUAUUAGAUAAAAAACCAAUGCACUUCGGUGCUCUUUGGUGAUUCAUAAUAACUUCUCGAAUCGCAAGGCUUCAUGCUGGCGAUGGUUCAUUCAAGUUUCUGCCCUAUCAACUUUCGAUGGUAGGAUAGUGGCCUACCAUGGUUUCAACGGGUAACGGGGAAU
rnacentral:rRNA from 1 species